UCAAUUUCCCCGCAUUUUUGAAAACCCUAAUUCCGAUAAUUCUCCAGAUCUCCAAAAUUCCUCCGCCACACAAUUUCAAUCCCCACUAAACUUUUGACUCCACUGCGCGCUGGCGCCUUCCCAUUGAUUCUGGGAGUCGAUCUGUACGUGGGGUUCGCUUCGAUCACAGUCACUGUGAAAAUCCAAAAUUCCAAAUUCCUUAUUUUGUGACAAAACGGCACUCUUCGAUCGUCCCUAUUCCGGACGCUCCUCCAAUGUUCUAGACAUCUCUUGAUCUUCCCUAAAAAGGUCAUUAAUCGCAGUUCACAGAAUGAACUCAUUUCAAGAGCUGUUUUUGUUUCCCCUCCAAUGGCGUCCUCUCUCUUCGCUUCAGUCCCGUGCCCUUCUUCGAUCGACAAAUCCCCACUUCGCAUAUCGUACUGUUCUUCCUUCUCAAAGCAUCAAUUUGGCCACAGGGCGAGAUAUUCGUUCCAAAGGUUGAGUUUCUGUGUUAAAGCAGAGAAUACAAACGAACCGUCUUCUCCUCGGGAGUCGCCGUCGUCUUCUUCAGUGGCGGUGGAGGAGCCAAAGGGCGAGGAAAAUGGGCCGAGCGUGUCCGACGAGGCCAAGGAGGAUUCGGAGAAUGAUAGAGUGCAGGAACUGGAUUGGAAAACCGACGAGGAGUUUAAGAAAUUCAUGGGGAAUCCGUCGAUCGAGGCCGCCAUAAAGCUCGAGAAGAAACGAGCUGACAGGAAGCUGAAGGAGCUCGAUCGAGAAAGAAGCGACAAUCCGAUAAUCGGAUUCUUCAACAAUUUGGUUCGCGCCAAUGUGAGCCGAGAGAAAGAGCGUCUGGAGAUGGCGGAGGAGACCUUCAAGGCUCUCGAUCUCAACAAGUUGAAGAGCUGUUUUGGUUUCGAUACAUUUUUCGCCACUGAUGUUAGGAGAUUUGGUGAUGGAGGGAUAUUUGUUGGAAACCUGAGGAAGCCAAUUGAGGAAGUGAUUCCAAAAUUGGAGAGGAAGCUUUCGGAGGCAGCGGGGAGGGAGGUUGUGGUUUGGUUUAUGGAGGAGAAAGCUAAUGAAAUCACGAAACAGGCCUGUGUAGUGCAACCCAAGGCAGAAAUGGACCUCCAGUUCGAGUCUACUAAACUGAGUACGCCUUGGGGCUACAUUAGCGCGAUUUCCUUAUGUGUUACAACAUUUGGGACGAUUGCUCUGACAAGUGGAUUCUUCGUCAAGCCUAAUGCUACUGUCGACGACUACUUGGCCAAUGUUGCACCUUUGUUUGCCGGAUUUUUGACCAUUUUGUUAGCAUCCGAGGUUGCGACGAGAGUGACAGCAGCUCGCUACGGCGUCAAACUUAGCCCAUCCUUUCUUGUUCCAUCGAACUGGACCGGGUGCCUCGGCGUCAUGAAUAACUACGAGUCUCUACUGCCGAAUAAGAAGGCUCUGUUCGAUAUCCCCGUGGCCCGAACAGCCACUGCGUAUCUGACAUCAUUGAUCCUCGCCAUUGCUGCUUUUGUAGCUGAUGGCAGUUUUAAUGGCGGCGACAAUGCACUGUACAUAAGACCUCAGUUCUUUUACAAUAAUCCACUCCUUUCGUUUAUCCAAUAUGUCAUCGGCCCAUAUGCUGACGAUCUUGGCAAUGUGCUGCCGUAUGCAGUCGAAGGUGUGGGCGUCCCGUGCGAUCCUCUUGCCUUCGCCGGACUUCUUGGCAUGGUGGUGACGUCACUGAACCUGCUCCCAUGCGGACGGCUCGAGGGCGGCCGCAUCGCCCAAGCCAUGUUCGGCAGAAGCACCGCCAAUAUAUUAUCUUUUGCCACGUCACUACUUUUGGGAAUUGGAGGAUUGAGCGGAAGCGUGCUGUGCCUGGCGUGGGGGCUAUUCGCGACAUUCUUCCGGGGAGGAGAGGAAAUUCCGGCCAAGGACGAGAUCACACCGCUGGGAGACGAUCGAUUUGCUUGGGGAUGCGUUCUCUUCCUCAUUUGCUUGCUUACUCUCUUCCCCAACGGCGGCGGCACCUUCAACAGCUCCUUCUUCGGCUCGCCGUUUUUUCGUGGUGACGGUUUGAUCAGAGAGAUUGCUCGAGAAGAAUCCUCAUGUGCUGUCCAUCACUGGUGGAAACGCUGCUCUGCCUUUCCAGCGUAUGUCUGGAUGGCAGUACGAUCAUGCGACAGUAAAGGAAAUCAGCAAAACCUGGAAUUUCAACAGGCAUCCAUCUUCUCGUACAUUUGGAGUGGAGGACUCGAGAUUCCGAGGGGUGGCCACCAGGUGCACACCAAGAGUCAAGAUUUAAUGGAUGGAACUUAAUUCAUGUUAACAACUUCAAGACCGGGAAUGGCCAUAGCAAAAAUUUAUGUGAUGCUGUUUAGUUGGAGGGCUGCAACAAUCACUCUACUGAAAAAUAAUUGGAUUAUGAUGCUUCAGGACUCAGGUAUUUGAUUCUUGAUUGGGAAUUGGAAAAAAGGGUGGAAAUGCAGAUUCAGCUGUAAUAAAGUAGUUCAUGAUUGUGGGAUCUCAAGCCCCACGCCACCAAACAAAACAACAAAAUUAUUUCCAAUUUAUGAACAUGGGAUGGGGGUGGCCAUAUGUAUUCACUCACCCCAUGCAUUAUGGAUGAUGAUUGCUGAGAGGUUCAUUAUCCAAAAUAGGACACAAUGGGUGCUGCCCUUGUUGGAGGAUUUUAUAAAGUGGAUUGAUUAGCCUUUCUCCAUAAU